rnacentral:rRNA from 1 species
UGAGGAAUAUUGGUCAAUGGGCGAGAGCCUGAACCAGCCAAGUCGCGUGAAGGAAGACUGCCUUAUGGGUUGUAAACUUCUUUUAUACAGGAAUAAAAAGGCUUACGUGUAGGCCAUUGCAAGUACUGUAUGAAUAAGCAUCGGCUAACUCCGUGCCAGCAGCCGCGGUAAUACGGAGGAUGCGAGCGUUAUCCGGAUUUAUUGGGUUUAAAGGGUGCGCAGGCGGGCUUUUAAGUCAGCGGUGAAAUCUGGACGCUUAACGUCCAAACUGCCGUUGAAACUGGGAGUCUUGAGUAUGGAUGAAGUAGGCGGAAUUCGUUGUGUAGCGGCGACAUGCAUAGAUAUAACGAGGAACUCCGAUUGCGUAGGCAGCUUACUAAGCCAUAACUGACGCUCAUGCACGAAAGCGUGGGGAUCAAACAGGAUUAGAUACCCUGGUAGUCCACGCCGUAAAACGAUGAUUACUAGUUGUAUGCGAUAUGAUAGUAUGUGACUAAGCGAAAAGCGAUAAGUAAUCCACCUGGGGAGUACGCCGGCAACGGUGAAACUCAAAGGAAUUGACGGGGUCAUAGCUG